AUUCUUCCAAGAAUUCAUAAAGAUCCAUAUGCUUGCUUGAUUGCAACUCGUUUUAAUCCAAAAAAUUUUGCUUGGUAAUCUUAUCUCCAUCUCUAUCAAUAAAUUCUUCCUUCAAAAGUUCUUGAAAUUUUGACAACUUCUCCACAUCCCCUCUAAGCAAUCUCUUAAUCAUUUUAUAAAUCCUAGGUUUAAUAACCAAAUGGAAGCUUAAAAUCAUCUUUGACUCAGGGAUUUGGCAUGUCUCUAUUUUACAUGUAUAAACUUCUAAAAACUUACUAAUGUUACAUCUUUUAAAUCUCCCAAAUUUAUUGAUGACUCUUUGUAAUGCCUUUGUGAUAUCUUUUUCAAUUCCUUGCAUCAUUUGUUGCUCCUCCAUGAAUAUACAAAAAGUCUUAAAAAAUUCACUAACAUUUGGUCC
rnacentral:lncRNA from 1 species